UACGUAGGUGGCAAGCGUUGUCCGGAUUUACUGGGCGUAAAGGAUGCGUAGGCGGACAUUUAAGUCAGAUGUGAAAUACCCGAGCUUAACUUGGGUGCUGCAUUUGAAACUGGGUGUCUAGAGUGCAGGAGAGGUAAGUGGAAUUCCUAGUGUAGCGGUGAAAUGCGUAGAGAUUAGGAAGAACACCAGUGGCGAAGGCGACUUACUGGACGUGUAACUGACGCUGAGGCAUGAAAGCGUGGGGAGCAAACAGG
rnacentral:rRNA from 1 species